GGGACCUUCUCACAUUAAGGGCGCUUAGUGCUUUUGAAAACAUUGAAUUUAUACCAAAAAGUUGGGGAUAUGAGAAGGGGAGAAGGAGAUGUACAAGUUAGCACAACUGAAGGAAAAGAGGGGUAAAGAUCCAAAAAUAGGUCAAGUGCAUUAACUAUAAUAAUCAAUAAGUUUUGUUAGGGAAAAAGUGAGAUCAAAGAGAGAUGGAGAUGCUACUUUGA
rnacentral:misc_RNA from 1 species